GACGAACGCUGGCGGCGUGCUUAACACAUGCAAGUCGUACGGUAAGGCCCUUUCGGGGGUACACGAGUGGCGAACGGGUGAGUAACACGUGAGUAACCUGCCCACAACUUUGGGAUAACGCUAGGAAACUGGUGCUAAUACUGGAUAUGUGCUCCUGCUGCAUGGUGGGGGUUGGAAAGCUCCGGCGGUUGUGGAUGGACUCGCGGCCUAUCAGCUUGUUGGUGGGGUAGUGGCCUACCAAGGCGGCGACGGGUAGCCGGCCUGAGAGGGUGACCGGCCACAUUGGGACUGAGAUACGGCCCAGACUCCUACGGGAGGCAGAAGUGGGGAAUAUUGCAAAAUGGGCGCAAGCCUGAUGCAGCAACGCCGCGUGCGGGAUGACGGCCUUCGGUUGUAAACCGCUUUCAGCAGGGACGAAGCUUUUUGUGACGGUACCUGCAGAAGAAGCACCGGCUAACUACGUG
rnacentral:rRNA from 1 species